AUGGAGAACCCCAACGGCCACGCGGAAGCUGACGCGGGGGCUCCCCCACCGUCGCCCUUGGACGCCGUGGAGGCGGGUCUGGGCAGCGACCCGGCCGAGGUUCUCCCACCGCCACCCCCGCAUCUCCCGGGGGGCGCCCCUUACGACAGGGCGCAGACAGCCAGCGGAUCCGCGUACGGGACCUCCGGCGAGGCAACGGGCUACCAGGCCGCGGGGGCCACGGAGGACGGCGCCGCCGCCGUCGAGAUGGCCGAUCCCAUGGUUCCCUAGCAGUCGUAUGAGGAUGGUAAUGUUGCUGAGAGGCUAGGUUAAUUAUGGGAUGUUGUCACCUUGGAUUGCUUAGACGGCGAUGCUUGGACCGCACUUAUUGAAGAGACGGAGAGGAUUGCUGAGAGCGACAUAUUAAAAAUACGGAAAGUGUAUGAUGCAUUCCGUGCGGAGUUCCCUCUGUGCUUUGGCUAUUGGAAGAAAUAUGCAGAUCAUGAAGGCCGUCUAGAUGGUGUCAAUAAAGUUUUUGAGGUGUAUGAACGGGCAGUUCUUGCAGUUACUUAUUCAGUGGACAUAUGGUGUAAUUAUUGUCAGUUUGCGAUCUCAACAUACAAUGACCCAGAUGUCAUCAGAAGACUGUUUAAUCGGGGUUUGGCAUAUGUUGGAACAGAUUAUGGUUCCAAUACUUUGUGGGAUGAGUACAUCAAGAAUGAAGAAUCACUUCAAGCAUGGAGUCAUCUAGCUGUGGUAUACACAAGAAUACUAGAGCACCCUAUAAAACAGCUUGAUCGGUACUUUAAUUGGUGA
rnacentral:rRNA from 1 species